rnacentral:rRNA from 1 species
GAGUUUGAUCAUGGCUCAGGAUGAACGCUAGCGGGAGGCUUAACACAUGCAAGUCGAGGGGCAGCACGAGGUAGCAAUACUUUGGUGGCGACCGGCGCACGGGUGAGUAACGCGUAUGCAACCUACCCUGUACAGGGGAUAGCCCGGAGAAAUUCGGAUUAAUACCCCAUAACGAUAUCGAGAGGCAUCUUUUGAUAUUUAAAGUUUCGACGGUACGGGAUGGGCAUGCGUGACAUUAGCUAGUUGGUAGGGUAACGGCCUACCAAGGCUUCGAUGUCUAGGGGUCCUGAGAGGGUGAUCCCCCACACUGGUACUGAGACACGGACCAGACCCCUACGGGAGGCAGCAGUAAGGAAUAUUGGUCAAUGGACGCAAGUCUGAACCAGCCAUGCCGCGUGCAGGAAGACAGCCCUAUGGGUUGUAAACUGCUUUUUCGCAUGAAGAACACCCCUGACGUGUCGGGGGCUGACGGUAAUGCGUGAAUAAGCACCGGCUAACUCCGUGCCAGCAGCCGCGGUAAUACGGAGGGUGCAAGCGUUAUCCGGAUUUAUUGGGUUUAAAGGGUGCGUAGGCGGCUAUUUAAGUCAGUGGUGAAAUCCUGCAGCUCAACUGUAGAACAGCCAUUGAAACUGAAUAGCUUGAGUGAUCUUGAGGUAGGCGGAAUGUGUAGUGUAGCGGUGAAAUGCUUAGAUAUUACACAGAACACCGAUUGCGAAGGCAGCUUACCAAGG